UACGUAGGGUGUGAGCGUUGUCCGGAAUUAUUGGGCGUAAAGAGCUCGUAGGCGGUUUGUUGCGUCGGCCGUGAAAACCUGCAGCUUAACUGUGGGCCUGCGGUCGAUACGGGCAGACUUGAGUUCGGUAGGGGAGACUGGAAUUCCUGGUGUAGCGGUGAAAUGCGCAGAUAUCGGGAGGAACACCAAUUGCGAAGGCAGCUCGCUGGGACGUUACUGACGCUGAGACGCGAAAGCGUGGGGAGCAAACAGGG
rnacentral:rRNA from 1 species